UUUCUGUUUGAAAUUACUAUUACAAUGCUUGUUAAAGGGUAUUCCAAUAUAUUUCAUUAAUUCAGAUAGUUUAUAAGACCAUGAAUUUUCUUUAUUUGUGAGAGUUUUGUCCACUUCAAAAGCAGCUUUGAGAAUUUCAUGCGGACCACCAGACCGUUCACCAAUAUUACUGAGACGCUCAUAAUAUUUAAACAUAAGUUGAUAACAUUUAAUGCUAAUGGGUAAAGUGCCCAAUUCACACCGCACUGCUAGAUUGGAAGACUUUCCAUGAACCCCAAGUAUGUUUUUAAAUAUGGAGUUUUGUGUUUUUUCUAAUUUACUUUUGUCUAAUGCUUCAAAAUUUGGUUUGAAUUCUGAUAUCCAUACUUCUGAUCCAUAAGUUAAAAUAGGAGUUAUCAUUGAAUUAAAAAGCUGGAGCCAAGUCUUAACAGACAAAUUUUCACUAUAUGGUAGUUUUGACUUCAAUGCAAAAUAUGCUUUUUUAGCUUUAUCUGAGAGGCUUGACACUGCCUGUAUAAAUUUUCCAGAGCUAUGAAAAUCAACUCCUAAGUAUUUAUAACAAUCAACAAUUUCAAAUUGCUGUAAUAAAAGUAAAAGUUUUCUUUAUUUACUUUAAUUUUAGAGAAAAUUAUAAUUUUUGUUUUCUUAAGGUUCACGUCCAGUUUCCAUUCAGUACUAUAUUUUUGUAAAGAAUCAAGAGAGUUCUGGAGACCAUCUGCAGAUUCUGAUAUCAACAAUAAAUCAUCAGCAUACAAUAAAUGGUUCACUUUUUGACCAUUUAAAUUAACUGCACUAGUUAAGUUUGUAUCUAAGUAUUUUCCUAUGUCAUCAACAAAUAUAUUAAAUAAAGUUGGACUUAAACUGUCACCUUGUUUGACACCCUGAUUAGCAAGAAAAGGCUUGGUAAACAUAUUUUGAUAUUUACAUGAAUAUAAGGUAUUAGAGUACAUGUCAUGCAGUAUAUUAUAAAAUUUGCCUUGUAUUCCUUUAUUUUGUAAUUUUAAGAACAGAGCUGAU
rnacentral:lncRNA from 1 species